rnacentral:rRNA from 1 species
AUUGAACGCUGGCGGCAUGCCUUACACAUGCAAGUCGAACGGCAGCGCGGGGCAACCUGGCGGCAAGUGGCGAACGGGUGAGUAAUAUAUCGGAACAUACCCUAGAGUGGGGGAUAACGUAGCGAAAGUUACGCUAAUACCGCAUACGCACUAAGGUGGAAAGUGGGGGAUCUUCGGACCUCAUGCUCAUGGAGUGGCCGAUAUCUGAUUAGCUAGUUGGUGAGGUAAAGGCUCACCAAGGCGACGAUCAGUAGCUGGUUUGAGAGAACGACCAGCCACACUGGAACUGAGACACGGUCCAGACUCCUACGGGAGGCAGCAGUGGGAAUUUUGGACAAUGGGGGCAACCCUGAUCCAGCAAUGCCGCGUGAGUGAAGAAGGCCU